CUACGGGCGGCAGCAGCGAGGAAUAUUGCACAAUGGGGGGAACCCUGAUGCAGCAACGCCGCGUGGAGGAUGACGCAUUUCGGUGUGUAAACUCCUUUUAUAUGUCAAGAAAAUGACGGUAGCAUAUGAAUAAGCACCGGCUAACUCCGUGCCAGCAGCCGCGGUAAUACGGAGGGUGCGAGCGUUACUCGGAAUCACUGGGCGUAAAGGACGCGUAGGCGGGUUGGAAAGUCAGGUGUGAAAUCCUACAGCUUAACUGUAGAACUGCACUUGAAACUUCUAAUCUAGAGUAUGGGAGGGGGAGAUGGAAUUAGUGGUGUAGGGGUAAAAUCCGUAGAUAUCACUAGGAAUACCUAAAGCGAAGGCGAUCUCCUGGAACAUUACUGACGCUAAGGCGUGAAAGCGUGGGGAGCAAACAGGAUUAGAUACCCGUGUAGUC
rnacentral:rRNA from 1 species